GGUACGGCCAUAUCUACUGAAAACCACCGGAACCCAUCAGAACUCCGUAGUUAAACCAGUAUGAGCUUAAUCAGUACUAAGAAGGGAGA
rnacentral:rRNA from 1 species